UUCUGCUCUCAUUCAAAUCAAUG
rnacentral:miRNA from 1 species